rnacentral:rRNA from 1 species
UCGGGUUGUAAAGCACUUUUGUCCGGAAAGAGAUCCUUGGUUCUAAUACAGCCGGGGGAUGACGGUACCGGAAGAAUAAGCACCGGCAACUACGUGCCAGCAGCCGCGGUAAUACGUAGGGUGCGAGCGUUAAUCGGAAUUACUGGGCGUAAAGCGUGCGCAGGCGGUUUGCUAAGACCGAUGUGAAAUCCCCGGGCUCAACCUGGGAACUGCAUUGGUGACUGGCAGGCUAGAGUAUGGCAGAGGGGGGUAGAAUUCCACGUGUAGCAGUGAAAUGCGUAGAGAUGUGGAGGAAUACCGAUGGCGAAGGCAGCCCCCUGGGCCAAUACUGACGCUCAUGCACGAAAGCGUGGGGAGCAAACAGGAUUAGAUACCCUGGUAGUCCACGCCCUAAACGAUGUCAACUAGUUGUUGGGGAUUCAUUUCCUUAGUAACGUAGCUAACGCGUGAAGUUGACCGCCUGGGGAGUACGGUCGCAAGAUUAAAACUCAAAGGAAUUGACGGGGACCCGCACAAGCGGUGGAUGAUGUGGAUUAAUUCGAUGCAACGCGAAAAACCUUACCUACCCUUGACAUGGUCGGAAUCCCGCUG